rnacentral:rRNA from 1 species
AGAGUUUGAUCCUGGCUCAGAUUGAACGCUGGCGGCAGGCCUAACACAUGCAAGUUCGAGCGGAUGACAGGAGCUUGCUCCUGAAUUCAGCGGCGGACGGGUGAGUAAUGCCUAGGAAUCUGCCUGGUAGUGGGGGACAACGUUUCGAAAGGAACGCUAAUACCGCAUACGUCCUACGGGAGAAAGCAGGGGACCUUCGGGCCUUGCGCUAUCAGAUGAGCCUAGGUCGGAUUAGCUAGUUGGUGAGGUAAUGGCUCACCAAGGCGACGAUCCGUAACUGGUCUGAGAGGAUGAUCAGUCACACUGGAACUGAGACACGGUCCAGACUCCUACGGGAGGCAGCAGUGGGGAAUAUUGGACAAUGGGCGAAAGCCUGAUCCAGCCAUGCCGCGUGUGUGAAGAAGGUCUUCGGAUUGUAAAGCACUUUAAGUUGGGAGGAAGGGCAUUAACCUAAUACGUUAGUGUUUUGACGUUACCGACAGAAUAAGCACCGGCUAACUCUGUGCCAGCAGCCGCGGUAAUACAGAGGGUGCAAGCGUUAAUCGGAAUUACUGGGCGUAAAGCGCGCGUAGGUGGUUUGUUAAGUUGGAUGUGAAAGCCCCGGGCUCAACCUGGGAACUGCAUUCAAAACUGACAAGCUAGAGUAUGGUAGAGGGUGGUGGAAUUUCCUGUGUAGCGGUGAAAUGCGUAGAUAUAGGAAGGAACACCAGUGGCGAAGGCGACCACCUGGACUGAUACUGACACUGAGGUGCGAAAGCGUGGGGAGCAAACAGGAUUAGAUACCCUGGUAGUCCACGCCGUAAACGAUGUCAACUAGCCGUUGGGAGCCUUGAGCUCUUAGUGGCGCAGCUAACGCAUUAAGUUGACCGCCUGGGGAGUACGGCCGCAAGGUUAAAACUCAAACUCAAAGGAAUUGACGG